AAUAAAUAAUACGUAAUUAGUAGUUAAUUCAACAUAAUAACUAAAAUAGGAGAAUAUAAUUAAUCAGAACUUGAACCAUCAUUCUUUCUACAUUUUUUUAACUCAAUAUAUCCUCUUUAAUUUUGAGAUCCAAACAUGUUACACAUAUUCAUUGCCUACGAUUAUUAUGAAAUAAACUAAAUGAAUAUAAUAAACUAAAUGAAUAUGCAGAUUAAAUAUAUCUAAGCUUUCCGAGAUUUAUGUUAAGAAAACAAGUAAUUUGAAAGAUGUUUGAGGAGCUAUCCUUAUAACUAAUACGUAAGAUAUAAGAUUAUGACAAGAACUUAACUAAACUUUCCAAGAACAUCAAGUUGAAUAUGAUUAGAUUGGAUAUGCAGAGACAUGGUUAAUAAAGACAUGUUAUAUUUUUAAUGUAAGAAAUAAAUUUUCUAAAAUUUCACCGUCUUACAAACUAAAUAUAUAACCAAAAGAACAAGGAUAUAUAAAUUAAAAAAAAAACUGAGAAUCUAAAACAAUAAUAAAAAAACAACUCAAGCACUUUCGUUUUCAGAUGAACUAAUAUAGUUGGACUUUUUGAAAAUAAUUACAAAUCAUAUUUAUGUUUCAAAACCGAUGCAUUCAACUUUACUUUAUAUGAACAACAUUAUAUAAAACAAUUUGUAAAUAGUAAUACAUAAAUCCGCACGUAGUGCGGGUACUCAUCUAGUAAAAAUAAAAAUUGAAGUAGAAACCCAUUUAACUU
rnacentral:sRNA from 1 species